UUCGAAGACUUCGUUGAAAUGCGAAUAUUCGAAUAUUCGUAGAACUUCGAAUAUUCGAAUAUUCGCAUUUCAACGAAGUCUUCGAA
rnacentral:pre_miRNA from 12 species